GUUUGGUGUCUAUGGUUGGUCUCUUCUAUAGACCAAAAAGCCCCUCCGGAUUUUCUUUCCCUUGCCUUCACAUCAGUCGCAUUUUUGUAGAUCUGGAGAAUUCCAAGGGUAAAUAGGUAUCCUGUUUUUUGUCUAAACAAAAAUAUCGAUUAUUCCUCCAUCUCCAAACCAGCGAAAUACAACACCACCAUUACCAGACCUCCAUCAGUUUCAUCUAUCUUCGCCCACACAAACCACCACCGGAAACAUCAUCGCCACCAUUAUAGAAAAACACCACCACCACGUCCUUGCUCUCUUCUUCUUUAAAAUCCACCACCACUUCGAAUUCUUCGAAAUUUCCUUUUCAGAAGAAACACAAUUCUCUUCGAUCUCUACUCCGUCGACAUCUCUUCUUCUCCAUCGAAAUUUUUCGCUCGAAUAAACUUUACUCAGUUUCGAUUUUAGGGUUCUAGAUUUUGAUUUGAUUGAAUAUUCAAUCAUCAUCUGACCUGUAACCCUAAAUUCGAAAUUUGUUGAAUUAGUUCCACAUUCAUUACUUUACAGAGAAACAUCAACCAUAUGUUUUCGGGAGAUCCCCAAUUCAGUUUUUUCAAACCCGAAGAUUGCAAACUUUAGACUUGGAAUUUUUUUUAUCAAAGAACAAUUUGAGGUUAAUGCAUUUUGUUGGAAUCGAAUUCAAUUGUUUUGGAAUAGAUUAUGGGCGAUGUUUAUGCAUGGGAUGGUUAAAACAAAAAUUGAAAUGCUGCAGACCCCAGCCUGCUAAGAUUGUAGUUUAUGGCGCUUCUUAUCCUGCCAGCUCCAGGGGUCUUGAGACGGAACAUCACGAAAAUUGAAGAUUACUGCUGUAUAUUUUGUAGGAGUCUUGAAACGGAUAGAUUCGCACAUCGCGAGUGUGUCAUUGCUAAGACUGUUCAUAUUUCCUUCGGGAGAACAACUAUCGGCUUUAUAUUCUGCUGAAGUAGAAAGGAAGCUACUACAGAUAAAUUAUUCAGGUAACAUGCUAAUGCCUAGCUUUCCCACCAGCACCGCAAGCGCCAUCUCCAGCAGCAUCGCAAGAGCCACAACAACCAGCACUAGCAGCACAACCCCAGCACCACUGCCACCGCCACAAAAGUGCCGUUCCGUCCCAUCAACACAACGACCAGCACUAGCACAACCACCCCUGCACUAGCUUUCUCAGAUGCACAAGCGCCGGCAGGAUCCAUUUGUUACUCCCAAAGGACAGUACCAGACACGAAAUAACAAAUGCUUUGUAUUCAGAAGCUCUGUCAUAAAUUUGUUUUCAAAAUUUUCAAAAUUUGACUCUGUUUAUCUUAUCAGUAGUGUCUAUUUUUGGCUAAUUUGACAUUUUAUUUGUGUUAAUUGUAAAUUUGGAUGUAACAUUUGGAACCGACAUGAUUAUUAAUUUUA